AGAAAUGUUGAACUUACUUAUUUCUGUAAGACAGAACUAAGAUGGAUGGAUGGAGGCUUCAUGAAGGCAAUUUGGGUUCCAUGUGAGGAAGAAAUAUUCAACCACAGCUUUUAAAAUAGAAAGGGUUGUCUUAUCAGCAAGGAGUUUACAAAGAAACUGCCCUAUGGAUUGGGAGUGAGGAAAGGAAUAGGAGAGUGUUUUCACCUAUGAAGAAAUAAAGGAAACAACCGCUUCAAACUUAUCCUAUUCUACCAUGAAGACUACUUGUGGGAAGAGAGGAAAAUACUUUUUGCCUCCUGCAAAACAAAGUCCAUCUGAUGGAAGUGUGGUUUCAGGAGGUGUGUGUAAAAGUCUCCAGCUUUUGGGGCGCCUGGGUGGCUCAGUCGGUUAAGCGUCCGACUUCGGCUCAGGUCAUGAUCUCGCAGUCCGUGAGUUCGAGCCCCGUGUGGGGCUCUGUGCUGACAGCUCAGAGCCUGGAGCCUGUUUCAGAUUCUGUGUCUCCCUCUCACUGACCCUCCCCUGUUCAUGCUCUGUCUCUCU